GAGGCUUAGUCAACGAAGAGUCACGAGUGAAGCUUCAGCAUCGGAGGUCGUUCGAAGUACCAUUGUCGCACUGCAGCACCAUCGUCGGAGGUAUUUGGGGACAAACAUGGCAACAUCUUACAUUUAUACGAAAGAGACUGCAGUGUGCAGAGAAGACAUCAGAAAAUAAUUGAAGAAGCUCCAGCUCCCAAUGUCCUGAAUGACAUUCACUCUCAUGUGGGUCAUGCUGCUGUAUGUGCGGCCAAGUUGAUGGACAACGAUUGGGGCCAGAAUAAUGGAAAGUUCAUAUUACGAAGGCGAUAAAGCCUCGUCAAAAUUUGGUGAAAGGUCAUCAAGGUGUCAAAACAAUUGGAGAUGCACUUCACAAAUGUGUAGCUUGGCCUUCAGUUGAUAUUGAGGAUCCACUUGCAGACUAUAGAUUGAGGGGAGUUAGAUAGACCAUGUAGAUAAUGCCCAUGCUUUUUGGAACUCUUAUUUUGGCGCUUGUGUUUUUAGACAAAUAUUUUGGAACUAGUUGCUACAUUUGCAGAUUGAAGGGAGCUAAAUGGACCACGUUGAUGAUACACAUGCUUUUUGGGACUUUUUAUUUUGGCACUUGUGUCUUGAGACAAACAUUUUGGAACUAGUUGCUGUGUUUGCAGAUUGAGGGAGCUAAAUGGACCAUGUAAAUGAUGCACAUGCUUUUUGGGACUUUUAUUUUGGCACUUGCGUUUUGAGACAAAUAUUUUGGAACUAAUUGCUACAAGUGAAAUGUAUUUUGGAACUAAUUGCUAUGUGUUUCAUGUAUUUUGGAACUUUGCUACAUGUGACAUGUGUUUUGGAAUAGAUUUUGAAUA